rnacentral:rRNA from 1 species
UACGGAGGGUCCCAAGCGUUAUCCGGAAUCAUUGGGUUUAAAGGGUGCGCAGGCGGUAAAGUAAGUCAGUGGUGAAAUCCCUUCGCUCAACGAAGGAACUGCCAUUGAUACUAUCAGUCUUGAAUUCUCUGGAGGUAAGCGGAAUAUGUCAUGUAGCGGUGAAAUGCUUAGAUAUGACAUAGAACACCCAUUGCGAAGGCAGCUUACUACGGAGACAUUGACACUGAGGCUCGAAAGCGUGGGGAUCAAACAGGAUUAGAAA